rnacentral:rRNA from 1 species
CCCUUAGAUGUCCGGGGCUGCACGCGCGCUACACUGAAGGAAUCAGCGUGCUAAAACCAUUGUCGAAAGGCAUUGGUAAACCCAUUAAAAUCCUACGUGAUUGGGAUCGGGAAUUGCAAUUAUUUCCCUUGAACGAGGAAUUCCCAGUAAGUGUGGGUCAUAAGCUCGCGUUGAUUACGUCCCUGCCCUUUGUACACACCGCCCGUCGCUGCCCGGGACUGAGCCGUUUCGAGAAAAGCGGGGACUGCUGCUGUCGGGGCUUUCGGGCCUUGGCUUCGGUGGAAACCGCUUUAAUCGCAGUGGCUUGAACCGGGCAAAANUCGUANCA